UUUUAAAAAAUGGAAAAAAAUUGAAAAAUAAGAAGAAAAAAUCUUAAAAAAAUUAGAAAAUUUUAUGAAAAAUCUAAAAAAAAAUUUAAAAUGCAGAAAAUUAAUCUAUUGAAAAAUUAUAAAAAAAAAUAUAAAAAUGAAGAUCAAUGGUUUGUGCUAAAGGAAUGUGUUUGGAGGAGGAUCCUGCAGGGAGUUGGGCCCAGAGGUUUUGCCAGGGAGCCUCUUCCCAGGGGCAUUGCCCCAAAGAAAGUCCGGGAUGUUCAGGCACGGGUGAAUCCUGUCCUGGGCAGGCAGAAAAAGGGUGGGGUGGACUGGCAGAACGUGCAGGGGGAAUCCUUUUAUUGGGAGCUGCUCCCCAACCCCGACCAAAUCCUCAGUGGGGAGGAACAGCCUUAAAAAAAAAAAACCAAACCUUGAUUCAAAAGUGGAUUAAAAACGGGGUGGUGGUGCCGAGAGAGGGGUGAAGCUCAAGCUCCACCUGGAACGGGGUUGCUGGUGGGUCUGGCUGGUUUGAUCCUCCCUCCUCUCCCAGCGGAUCCCAAAAAGCGCUGGGGGAACGCCAGGACAUCCCCCCCAAUAUUGGGAAUAUUUCUGUGGGUGCCGUCGUGGUUACAUCUCCUUCCUCGUCUCCAUUCUUGUGCAAAAUUCAAAUAAUUCCCCCCCUCCCCAACAGCAGCUGGGCAUGGGGUGGGUUUUUUUUUUUUUUAAGUUUUUUUUUUUUUAAGUCGCUCUUUAACGUUGCGAAAGGAACAAUAAAAUGAAAGGCAAAACCGGCAUCUUAAAACUUGGCAAGUGAAAGCAGCUUGGACUGGCAGCCAAGAAUCCUGCUGUGGUGCAAAAAGAAUAGCAUCCACGGAGCCACCACAAUCCGGGGCUUCUCCUCUUUUAACAAUCGCGUCGGCACAGAGAAAUAAUUAUUCCUUGUGUCACUGUUAAAAGAGUCAACGAGCUUAAAAAAAGCUUGCUUGGUGAACCUCCUCCAAAGCAGGUAAUGACGCUCCUUUUUGAUUCUGUUUUUUUCCAGCUGGAAUUGUUUUUUGGGUUUUUUUUUUGGAUAAGGAUCUAGAGAUGAGAACUAAUCACUUGAAGGAGUUUGGUGGGUUUGGUACUAACGACCAGGGAAGGAGUUUGACGGGGUAACCUCCAGGGUUUUUAAUUUUCYUGGAUGGGUUUUUGGUGGGAGUAGGACUGGCGAACUUCUGGAGCGGUUUUGUUACGAGGAAUGUUUUAUUGCCACGGAUUUAACUCCUCAGGCUGCGGGGAGGGCGCGAGUGGAUGGUGGAACAUGGAAAAAUGAAUUCAAAAAAAACCUUCAAAAAUGAGGAUAUUGGGAGGGGGAAGUGAUUUCUCUCGUAGGACCUUGGCUGUUCCUUUUCUCCUCUGAAACUGUAGCCUCUGGGUGUAGAAAACCAGCAGCCAUUCCUUGAAAACUUGCCAUGAAAAUAUCCCUGAAUAUUUUGUCUUCCAGAACACGUUCCCCAGGAGUUGGGCCUAAGCAAUAUGGCAGCGGACGCUCCAUAGGAAAUCCUGAAAAUGCUGCUGCUGCUGCUGAGCCCUGUCCCCAAGGAGGGCACAAUCCCUGCCCCACUCCGGCCUCAACCGCCGCAGGGACGGAUCUUCCUCCAAAAAUCCCAAAAUCAUCCCAAAAUCRUYCCCAAAAUCCYGUUUUUCCGAAGAUGCCGCGUGAAUUUUGGAAGCUGAAAACUUUGGGGGAARGCUGGACGCUUUUGAAGCCCUGGAGCGGCGCGGCGUUCACGUUCCCAAAAAGCACCAUGGAGGCCUGGCCAAGUUCUUGCCUUGGUGGUCAGCAAUCAGGAGUCUCCAAAGGAGGUCAGAUGAAGGUGACCAAAGGGAUCUGGACGCAGCAGCUCCUCCCAAGGACUCACAGCACUCCAGGCACGUGGUAAGUGCUGUCCUGGUGGUUCUUUAUUUUUACAGAAUAUUGAUUUGAUCCGUGAUUUGGUGUGGAAUUGGUCUGCAGAACAGUGAGGCUCGMWUUAGAAGCUUYUGCUUGUCCAGAGCACUGUUCUGGRAAUGCCCAAACCAUGAYAUUUUUACCCAGUUUUGCUCUCCAUGGAUGUGCCCCUCACUCUGGAUUUGUACCUUUCCUCACAUCACUUGAAUUCUCAAUUUCUAUGGAGAUUCUGUUGAAAUUCCAGGGCUUUUUACUCCCCUGAAGACAUUUUAUUAAUUUGUAAAUCAUUCUCCUCUGUGCUGCCCAUUCUGGGCAUUUUAAAGGUAUUUCCAAACUGAUUCCUGUGUGCUUUGCCCAGAGUGAAGUUAUUGACUCAAAAAGGCCUCGAGGUUUCCCCGUUAAUGCUGAAGUCUCUAAAGCCUCCUCCCUGGCUGAACAUCCCUUCUCCUGUGUGUUUUCCCUUUUGAAUUGCUAAUUCCAAUUGAUCUGAAGAAAAAAAUAUUGUAAUAGUUUGUAUUUACUGCAUUUUCUGCUGCAACAGCACCUACCAAGGUCUCGCCUUYCUUUGAUCCUGUCUCAAUGAUUGAAUUCAUUCUUCCUUUCUGUUUUCCAGCUUCUCUCUGCAAACUUUCUGUCACUCYCAUUUCUGCAAGAAUUUCCUGCAAACCACGUCCCUAAGAGGAUUAGUGGAGGGGAUACCAAAUUUUAUUUAUAUUUAUUUAUAAAUGGGCUGCAGAGACUUGGCCCCUUUUAAAAUAUGAGAACAAUUUUCAGGCCUCUUUCAGUUGUGGUUGUUUCACUCAAAAAAAAAGGAACCAAAAAAACCCCAAAAACCCAAACCCAACAAAUCACAGAACAACAGAGAAACAUGAGAAGUUGUGGAAACCCCUCAAACUUUCUCUGUUUGAAUUUUGAAUUCCUGGUGGUCACAGGACCAGGUGAUGCUGCCAGUUGUGGGGUUUUUUGGUAGUGCCCAGAGCAACGAGUUAAAUGCAAAGAUGGAAUUAAAUCAGAUAAAAUCCCACCUCAAUUUUUUUUAUUUGUGCCAGCCUGGAGGCCUUAAACRUUUUGUAAUUUGAAUCUUUGCAAAACAGGGCUGCUGGACUCCAGUGAAAGCAGUGUCCGGAUGUCGGUGGUGAUUCAUAAAAGCAAUUAAAGAAAAGGAAAGUGCUUUUCCUCUGAGUGUAAGGAGGAUGUCCUUAAGUGAGUGUGAAACGCUCCAGCAGUGGUCAGGGGAUGGGGGCUGUGRUGUUCCAGCUCAUGGAUCUGUUUCCAGCAAAAACACUUCUUUAUCCUGUGCUGCUGCUGAUUUAAAUUUUUCUCAGGGAGUCCUGGAAUUUUUGGGGUUGGAAGGGAGCUCUGGAGAUGCCCAGGCAGGGUCACCUGGAGCAGGUGACACGGGGACACAGCCAGGUGGGGCUGGGAUGGCUCCAGAAAACCCAAAACAUCCCUGGGCAGCUGCUCCAGGGCUCUGCCACCUCCGUGGGAAGUUUUCUUUAGGUUCAGCAGUUAAAACUUUAACUGAACAACCUUCACAGGUAUUAUUUUUACUGGCUUUUUCAGGAAAAUAAGAUGGGACUUGUGUUUUGUCAUCAAAAACAGCCURGCCCCAUCCUCUGUCACACACCUUGGGGAUAUUUGUAUGGAUUUAACUGAAUUUUAUUUAGUUUCUACCCAAUGUAGUUCCCAUUUCUUCCCUCUUAAAUUUGAGGAAAAGCCUCCUGAGGAUGGAACAUUUCCCACUGGAGAAAUGUGGUUGUUGCAACACAAAUAUUGGCGAUGAUGGAUCAUUGAAACUCAUCAAAUAUGAUUUUUUUUUCACCCCUAGUGCAACUCCCUGGCAUUUCUGACCUUGCCCAAACACAAACCACCUCAUUUGUAGAGCUUUAAAGUGAUUUUUCAGGGGCGAGGCCGAGUUUGGUGGGAACAUGAUGGAGGUUGUUGUUGUACAUGAGGAUCCAUCAGCACGGCCACGUUACCCAAGCGAGAAGCAGCCCCUGAAAUGUUCCUAAAACUUUCCUAAAACGUUCCCUAAAACUUCACAACCAUCCUGGUGGCUCUUAGGGGUGUUUAUCUGGCUGUCCUAGAGCAGGAACUUCCAAUAUUCCACCUUCUCCAGGUGGAUUCCUCUCUGUUCUUUUGCAAAUAUCAAAAUUGUGGCUUCCAUUGGCUUUGCCUUCCCAUCCUGCCCUCGGUUAUCCCAUUCCAAGGGAAGCAAAAGGAGUUUACUGAUUUAUCAUGGAUCAUUAGGUGGAAGUAACUAUUCUUAAAACAUCAGGAUGGAUACAAUAAUUAGGGAUGUGCUUUUGUUAACACCGCCAGCCUCGACCCUCUCGUACAGUACCCUUGGGUCCUAAAUAAUUACCCACUUUGUGUGGUUAUCUAGCUCACUAAUUACCCACAAAAAUUGGGGUCAGGUGUUAACUGCUUGAAAUAAGUAUCCUCCAAAGGCUUGGGGAAAGUGUAUCAAGAAAUUAUGUGUUUGCUGCAAAACUUUGGGAAAAAAAAAAAAAGGAAAAAUCAAACAUUAUUUUUUUUUUGGUGGGAAGGAAGAUAAGGAGACAAUGGAUGUGAAAUGUUCAGYGUGAUGGCAAAAUCUCGCAGUGAUGGUGAGGGACUCUAAAGGGAGUGAAAGGAUGGUUGGCAGAUCCAGUCACUAAUCUGGUCUACUUUUCCCAAAGAUUAGAUCCUUCAGCACACAGGGUUUGAUUCUUCCCCUAUCUAGGCUGAUGCCAAUCAGGAUUACGCCAAUAUAAAUAAGAAAAUUUGGAUCUGUGCAUUCCCAGACUGACUUUGCUGCAUAACCCCACCUCUUCCAUCACCCAGGCACUUCUGCAUUGCGCCCAAUAAUUUAAUUAUGGAUUGGAUAUUUAUUUCCACGCGUUUAUUUUUGCUGCCUCCAGCCCUGUGUGCGCGCAGAGCUCCGUUCUGAGGCCGCUGCUCAUAAAAUGCAGUUCGCUUGGAGCAAUAAUUUGAUUCCUGUGCUCAGGGAGUUACCCCAGUGAGUCAAAGAUUUCUAGAUAGCCCCACCCUCCCCAACUUCCCGAACACUCACACUGCGGCCGCUUUCUCUCUGCCAGACCCACACAAGAUGUCUAACUAGCCAAAAUCCCGAGGGGCARUCCCAAUCUCCUGUUUCAGCCCCAAAAAAUGGGAAAUAAAGCCACGGCAGCUCUGAAACACCCGGCACGUGUAAGGGAGGGAUGUUGAGCCGCCCGUCUCCCUAACCUGGUUUCUUGCAUAGGUGCUCCCUGCCUUCAGUACAAAAGAAACAGAUUUUGGGGGAGCUGAGAAGGUGAUUCUAGAAAUCUUUGGGGUUUUGGAUGCCCGGAUACCUUGAAUUCCUGAGCGUCUGUGCGGUGCUCAGCGUUAACAAAGAAACCGCCGGGAUUUAUUGCUGUAUUUCGCGUUAGGUGCUUCCUCUCCUCCAUAGGCAGAACCACCUCCCGUUCCUACAAACACCUUUUGAAGGCUGUGUGGAUUCAGGUAUCAGACACCCCCAUCCCAAAUGUUUGGGUAAACGGAGGGGGGGAUCUGGGGAGGGUCCCCGAGCCGAGGCGUGAACUCGGUUUUGGGGCUACCUGCGCCCCGCUUUGUGCCGAGCAUCCCUGGGAAAGGCAGGGCUCAGGCUCCUAAAGCACAAUGCAGAUUUAGUCGUCAUCUUUGUCUCUCCCCCCGCGCCCCCCCCCCGCUCCACUCCCCGCUGAUGUUAACUGUCUGUAUUAUUAUUUAUUGUUAUCAGGGGAUUUGGUUUGAUCAAUGAAGUGUAUAUGCGUCUGACGGACAUUCGGGGAGGAAAUGCUUGGAGAAUGAGUAACAUGUCUGCAGCGGAGGGUGUGUGAGAGGGAGAGAGAGGGAGCAUCGGUACUAGAAACAUUGACUGAUGAGUUCAUUUUAAAAUCCAAGGGCAUAUAGCUGGUAAAUUAGCACAUAUUGCAAAUAUAGUCUGGUGCGAGAGGCAGCAGCGCUGCCAUUGA